ACGCUGUAUGAGGGGGGAGAAGGUUCCCACUCAUUCCCCUUGACAAGGAUGGAAGAGGCCCUUGGGCCUGACCACACACAUACAAUUAAGGCAUCGCCACCUACUUUGUGACUUCUAACCAUUAUGUUUU